ACUCCUACGGGAGGCAGCAGUGGGGAAUAUUGGACAAUGGGGGCAACCCUGAUCCAGCCAUGCCGCGUGUGUGAAGAAGGCCUUUUGGUUGUAAAGCACUUUAAGCAGGGAGGAGAGGCUAAUGGUUAAUACCCAUUAGAUUAGACGUUACCUGCAGAAUAAGCACCGGCUAACUCUGUGCCAGCAGCCGCGGUAAUACAGAGGGUGCGAGCGUUAAUCGGAAUUACUGGGCGUAAAGCGAGUGUAGGUGGCUCAUUAAGUCACAUGUGAAAUCCCCGGGCUUAACCUGGGAACUGCAUGUGAUACUGGUGGUGCUAGAAUAUGUGAGAGGGAAGUAGAAUUCCAGGUGUAGCGGUGAAAUGCGUAGAGAUCUGGAGGAAUACCGAUGGCGAAGGCAGCUUCCUGGCAUAAUAUUGACACUGAGAUUCGAAAGCGUGGGUAGCAAACAGGAUUAGAUACCCUGGUAGCUCGAUGU
rnacentral:rRNA from 1 species